UUUUAUAAAAUCCUAAUUUUAACCCUAAUAUCACAAAUCCCUAAUUUGUAUACUAAAUCCCUAAAUCUACAAUCAGAAAGGGAAAGAAAGGGAACGGGGAGCUCGAGGGGGAAACAGAAGGGAAGAAAGAAGGAAACAAAGAAUAGAGGGAGAGGGAGAGGGAGAGGGUGAGGGAACAGAUGAAGAAGAGAGGAAGGAGGAUCGCUGCGCCGUGCUGCUCCCUGCGCCGGUUGCCGUCGCUGUCACCAGAGCCAGAGGACAGAGAGAGAACGCUCGCAAGGGAGAGGACAAACGCGAGGAGAAGGAGAGCUCAUGCGCGAAGGACAGCGCCGCCACUCCGUCGCCACGCAGCUGUUGCUGCCACCCCGUCACCAUCGUUGUCGCGGCUGGAAGCAUAAAGUUCGAACAGAGGGGGGAGAAACCGUGAGUGAAGGGUGACGCUGGGCCUCUGUCGCUGCUGCUAUCACCAAGCGUCAUUGUCGUUGCCGCCGAAGGCCAAGGCCCUAUCGUUGUCAUCGAUUCUGCCUGGAGCCGCCACCCACUUGUCACAGCAAGUUAGUUACUCUGCCACCGCUUAAUUUGCCGUGUUGAGACUGAAACUGCCACCUUGACUCUGGGCUGUAAUUGUUCUUUAUUCCCAUCCAAUUUGAAUUCCCUGUUUCGCUGUAACUAUCAUUACUUUUGUGGAAUUGUCGCCAUUGUGAGCAUGAUUAGAGAUAGUGCUAGAUUCGGAUUUGCGUGGGAAUUGCCACUGCUGUGAGUCAAAAGGAAAAGCCACUCCCAGCGUUUAAUCUAACGAGUUUCGACAUCGAGUGACACAGGUUUGAAGACGCAAUUUGAAGCUGCGAGCGAUUAGUAGGUUUUCUUUAUGGUUUUAAUUGCUUUCAUAGAGUCCCCUCACCAUUAUCCCUUGAUAUUUUAUUUUAACAGAGGGAUAGGUGUUGUAUUUGGAUUUAUAUGACUUCUUAUGUAUAAGAAUUACUAUUAAUAAUACUUAUAUGAUUGUUAUUAUUAUUUGCAAUGCUUAUCUUUGAUACAUGUCUUGAAUGAAUAAAAA